AUUGAACGCUGGCGGAAUGCUUUACACAUGCAAGUCGAACGGCAGCACGGGGGCAACCCUGGUGGCGAGUGGCGAACGGGUGAGUAACACAUCGGAACGUGCCCAGUCGUGGGGGAUAACGUAGCGAAAGCUACGCUAAUACCGCAUACGAUCUACGGAUGAAAGCGGGGGAUCGCAAGACCUCGCGCGAUUGGAGCGGCCGAUGGCAGAUUAGCUAGUUGGUGGGGUAAAGGCUUACCAAGGCGACGAUCCGUAGCUGGUCUGAGAGGAUGAUCAGCCACACUGGGACUGAGACACGGCCCAGACUCCUACGGGAGGCAGCAGUGGGGAAUUUUGGACAAUGGGGGCAACCCUGAUCCAGCCAUGCCGCGUGC
rnacentral:rRNA from 1 species